GAGUUUGAUCAUGGCUCAGAUUGAACGCUGGCGGCAUGCCUUACACAUGCAAGUCGAACGCGAAAGUGGGGGCAACCCUGCGAGUAGAGUGGCGAACGGGUGAGUAACACAUCGGAACGUACCCAGGAGUGGGGGACAACCUCGAGAAAUCGAGGCUAAUACCGCAUACGUCCUGAGGGAGAAAGCGGGGGAUUCGCAAGGACCUCGCGCUCAUGGAGCGGCCGAUGUCGGAUUAGCUAGUUGGCGGGGUAAAAGCCCACCAAGGCUACGAUCCGUAGCUGGUUUGAGAGAACGACCAGCCACACUGGGACUGAGACACGGCCCAGACUCCUACGGGAGGCAGCAGUGGGGAAUUUUGGACAAUGGGGGCAACCCUGAUCCAGCCAUGCCGCGUGAGUGAAGAAGGCCUUCGGGUUGUAAAGCUCUUUCGGCCGGAACGAAAUCGCGUACGCGAAUAACGUGCGUGGAUGACGGUACUGGAAGAAGAAGCACCGGCUAACUACGUGCCAGCAGCCGCGGUAAUACGUAGGGUGCGAGCGUUAAUCGGAAUUACUGGGCGUAAAGCGUGCGCAGGCGGUUCUGCAAGUCAGAUGUGAAAUCCCCGGGCUUAACCUGGGAACUGCGUUUGAAACUACGGAGCUAGAGUGCGGCAGAGGGGGG
rnacentral:rRNA from 1 species